rnacentral:rRNA from 1 species
GUGUAGAUAUCGGGAAGAACACCAAUGGCGAAGGCAGGUCUCUGGGCCGUCACUGACGCUGAGGAGCGAAAGCGUGGGGAGCGAACAGGAUUAGAUACCCUGGUAGUCCACGCCGUAAACGGUGGAUGCUGGAUGUGGGGACCAUUCCACGGUCUCCGUGUCGGAGCCAACGCGUUAAGCAUCCCGCCUGGGGAGUACGGCCGCAAGGCUAAAACUCAAAGAAAUUGACGGGGGCCCGCACAAGCGGCGGAGCAUGCGGAUUAAUUCGAUGCAACGCGAAGAACCUUACCUGGGCUUGACAUGUUCCCGACAGCCCCAGAGAUGGGGCCUCCCUUCGGGGCGGGUUCACAGGUGGUGCAUGGUCGUCGUCAGCUCGUGUCGUGAGAUGUUGGGUUAAGUCCCGCAACGAGCGCAACCCUCGCCCUGUGUUGCCAGCACGUCAUGGUGGGAACUCACGGGGGACCGCCGGGGUCAACUCGGAGGAAGGUGGGGAUGACGUCAGAUCAUCAUGCCCCUUACGUCCAGGGCUUCACGCAUGCUACAAUGGCCGGUACAACGGGAUGCGACACCGCGAGGUGGAGCGGAUCCCUGAAAACCGGUCUCAGUUCGGAUUGGAGUCUGCAACCCGACUCCAUGAAGGCGGAGUCGCUAGUAAUCGCGGAUCAGCAACGCCGCGGUGAAUGCGUUCCCGGGCCUUGUACACACCGCCCGUCAAGUCAUGAAAGUGGGUAGCACCCGAAGCCGGUGGCCCAACCUUUUUGGGGGGAGCCGUCUAAGGUGAGACUCGUGAUUGGGACUAAGUCGUAACAAGGUAGCCGUACCGGAAGGUGCGGCUGGAUCACCUCCUUUCUACGGA